AGAGUUUGAUCCUGGCUCAGGAUGAACGCUAGCGGCAGGCUUAAUACAUGCAAGUCGAGGGGCAGCAUGACUGUAGCAAUACAGUUGAUGGCGACCGGCAAACGGGUGCGGAACACGUACAGAACCUUCCUUCGAGCGGGGAAUAGCCCAGAGAAAUUUGGAUUAAUACCCCAUAGUAUUACGGAGUGGCAUCGCUUUGUAAUUAAAGAUUUAUCACUUGAAGAUGGCUGUGCGGCUGAUUAGGUAGUUGGCGGGGUAACGGCCCACCAAGCCUGCGAUCAGUAACUGGUGUGAGAGCACGACCAGUCACACGGGCACUGAGACACGGGCCCGACUCCUACGGGAGGCAGCAGUAAGGAAUAUUGGUCAAUGGACGAAAGUCUGAACCAGCCAUGCCGCGUGGAGGAUGAAGGUCCUCUGGAUUGUAAACUUCUUUUAUAUGGGACGAAAAAAGGCUUUUCUAAGUCGUCUGACGGUACCAUAUGAAUAAGCACCGGCUAACUCCGUGCCAGCAGCCGCGGUAAUACGGAGGGUGCAAGCGUUAUCCGGAUUCACUGGGUUUAAAGGGUGCGUAGGUGGGUUGGUAAGUCAGUGGUGAAAUCUCCGAGCUUAACUUGGAAACUGCCAUUGAUACUAUCAGUCUUGAAUAUUGUGGAGGUUAGCGGAAUAUGUCAUGUAGCGGUGAAAUGCUUAGAUAUGACAUAGAACACCAAUUGCGAAGGCAGCUGGCUACACAUAUAUUGACACUGAGGCACGAAAGCGUGGGGAUCAAACAGGAUUAGAUACCCUGGUAGUCCACG
rnacentral:rRNA from 1 species